ensembl:lncRNA
GGGCUAUGAAGACCUUGUAGGUGUGUAUCAGUAUUAAGCACCCUGUGGAUGUACGCUGGUUAUGUUCCCUGUCAGUGGGAUGUACGGUCCAUGUGGAUGAUGUGAGUGACCUAUAAAUGUAGGCAGGCUUGGUGUGAGACUGUGCAGUCGGGUGUGAGAUGCCACGGUUGAUGGAGCCCAUGUGUCUGAGCGGGGCAGCCAAGGAGCAGAGCUCCAUUACCUCCUCCAGAGGUUUGUGUCCCAGGACAGUGGUCCCAAUACAACACAGUGCUGGGCAAAGUCCUGGUGCUUCCCCCACGUCCCACUGCAAACUGAAGGAAAGCCUUUAUAAACAUUUCCCAAAGACGUGCAAGGCACUGCCAGCUGUAAGGACACACAGAGGACAGAGAGGAAUCACAGCGUGGAGCAGCACGCAGGCAGAGAAUAACAGUGAAGUUAGUUCAAGUUUGGGACAGCCGAGCACAGAGAGAGAUGAUGAAUUGUGGACAUGCAGAGAGGUUUUGGAGAAGCCAGGCGGAGAAAAUACUGAGUUUAGAUGAAGUCCCAGGAUGCUCAAAGUGAGCUGUGCCACUAAAGAUAAUCUUGAAACCUGGAGCUGAAGCAGUAAGGCAGAAGCAACAUCCAAUUAAACUAGAGACUAGGGAGGGUCUCUAAGAAAAUUUGGCUUAUUAGUAACCUAAAAAUAAUAUUGCUGUGUUGCCAGUGAAGAAACCAAAUGGGAAGGGGUACAGGUUAGGCAAGUAUCUAAGAGCAAUGAGUCAGAUCCCACAGGAAAUACAGCUGGUAGUAGCAAAUCCUUGUACUUGCUAAUGGCUCUGUAGGAGCAGCGCAGGGGGUGAAUGGUAUUAGGUCUGAAGGACGCUUUCUUCUGAAUAUCUCUGCAUGUGGCAAGUCAGGCAAUGUUCACCUUUGGGUGGGAAAAUCCAGAGGCAAAUCGGAAGAAGCCAAUUGGCUAAGGAACUGUAGAUAUGGAAGAAGGAGCCUUCACAGGGAGCCUCGGUGUUACUGCAAUACAUGGAUAUCAUUCUCCUGGCUGUAGAAACUAAAGAAUGUGCAUGCAUGACUGAUAGUUUGCUGAGCUUCCAGGAAGAGGAGGAUGACGUGUAUCAAAAAGGAAAGACACAGGAAUCAUCUCUUGAAUCUGAAGUACAUGGAGAGGUAGAGAAGAUGGUAAAGCCAAUGCUGUGGGCUGCAGAAACCCAAGGAUGAUCAAGGAACUGAGGUCUGCAUAGAGGCCUUGCUUUAGAAUCAUGGAAUCAUAGAAUGGCUUGGGUUGAAAAGGGCCACAAUGCUCAUUGGUUCCAACCCCCUGCUCUGUGCAGGGUCGCCAACCAGCAGACCAGGCUGCCCAGAGCCACAUCCAGCCUGGCCUUGAAUGCCUCCUGGGAUGGGGCACCCACAGCCUCCUUGGGCAAUCCCUCUAGGAAGGCGACUUACUGCUCCAGGGGAAAGCCAGCAUCCUCACACUCGUGGGCAAGGCUCCCUGCCCGAGGCAGUCAGGAACUUGUUGAAGUCCUAUCUUCUUGAGACAUAGACUCUAUUGACACUCCUCUGUCCUUAUGCCAAGUGUUACAGUGACAUAGAAAUUGUCUUGUGAAACAACAUCCCCUGGAGAAGAGCACCGAGCAGGAAGUAUUCUGCCCUACAGAAUAUUUUGGGUCAGAAAAUUACCUUUUUAGUGCACCUGGACAGAACUCCAGCACUGGCUGAGAUUGAGCUCCACUUGCCAUUGUGGUACUGCUUAGACCAUACUGGAUGGAGGCAAUGAGACAUCCAGGCACCCCUCCCUCCUCCUGCUCCGUUUAUCCAUGAGCAUGCUAAAGGACAAAGCCUCCACAGAUCUCCUUUAUAACCCCAUUGCCUCUCCCUUAGCCAAAAUAUCGGGAUGGAAAGAGCUGAAAGGUGUUGCAGAAGGAUGGAAUCAGUCCCUGAGGAGCAAUAUCUGAUUUCUGGAACAUUUCUGGGCUUGCAGCUGCAUUGCUGCUGCAGAAGCAGGGGACAGCAGCUGAGAUGCUCGCAGCAGAGCAGGACUGCCUUCCCACCUAGAAGUCACUACGAGAUCUCCAGCGCUUUUAUCUCACGUCCCAUCCUCCCAGGCUGUUUUGAUCAGUGUGCACGGUUCGGAGCUGUUGCCUUGUUUAUCUGCUGUGCUGGGUGCUUUCAUCUCUCUCCUGGAAACCCGGCGGCUGCCGGCAGUGAAGGGAAGUACAGUUUCAGUGCCUUCUGUUAAACUGUACCCAGAUCUGCUCACCUUUCGCCUCCUUUCCCUGCCACCACUUGUCGGACUCUGAUGACUUUGUGAGGAGUUUGUAAUGAGUCUGAUGUGCUCAAAAGCUGAUUCUUCCCCGCCAGGGGAUUAAAUUGUGACCGUGAAUCUUUAUUAAAAUGAGCUCGGCACUUUGAACCUAAUUUUUUCUUCUAAAAUUAAUGUAGCUACAAAAAGCCAGUAACAGGAGUUUGGGGGAUUGUUUCUAUGAAGCUGUUUUUUUUUUUUUUUUUUUUCCCCUUGCUUGACUCAAUAUAGGUUUGCUUUAUGAUUGUAGUGAGACAGGGAGUGGAUCUUCGGUCCGUUUUAAUUGGAGAGCUGCUCAGUUUCAGCUGCAGGAGAGACAGUGAAUGGAAACCAGUCAAGGAAAGACGG